rnacentral:rRNA from 1 species
ACGGGGGGUGCAAGCGUUACUCGGAAUCACUGGGCGUAAAGAGCAUGUAGGCGGCUUAAUAAGUUUGAAGUGAAAUCCUAUAGCUUAACUAUAGAACUGCAUUUGAUACUGCUUAGCUAGAAUGCGGGAGAGGAAGGUGGAAUUUCUGGUGUAGAGGUGAAAUUCGUAGAUAUCAGGAGGAACACCGGUGGCGAAGGCGAUUUUCUGGCACGAUACUGACGCUGAGGCGCGAAAGCGUGGGGAGCAAACAG